rnacentral:pre_miRNA from 1 species
GAAAUACUCCCUCCGUCCGAAAAAGUUUGUCCCUCAAAUGGAUGUAUCUAGCACCAAGUUAGUGCUAAAUACAUCCAUUUGAGGGACAAGCUUUUUCGGACGGAGUGAGUAUGAG